rnacentral:rRNA from 1 species
GUGGGGAAUAUUGGUCAAUGGGCGAGAGCCUGAACCAGCCAAGUAGCGUGCAGGAUGACGGCCCUAUGGGUUGUAAACUGCUUUUAUGCGGGGAUAAAGUGAGGGACGUGUCCCUUUUUGUAGGUACCGCAUGAAUAAGGACCGGCUAAUUCCGUGCCAGCAGCCGCGGUAAUACGGAAGGUCCGGGCGUUAUCCGGAUUUAUUGGGUUUAAAGGGAGCGCAGGCGGGGAGGUAAGCGUGACGUGAAAUGUAGCCGCUCAACGGCUGAACUGCGUCGCGAACUGUCUCUCUUGAGUGAGUACGACGUCAGCGGAAUUUGUGGUGUAGCGGUGAAAUGCUUAGAUAUCACGAAGAACCCCGAUUGCGAAGGCAGCUGACGAGUCCUUUACUGACGCUAAAGCUCGAAGGUGCGGGUAUCGAACAGG